rnacentral:rRNA from 1 species
AUUGAACGCUGGCGGCAGGCCUAACACAUGCAAGUCGAGCGGAUGAAGGGAGCUUGCUCCUGGAUUCAGCGGCGGACGGGUGAGUAAUGCCUAGGAAUCUGCCUGGUAGUGGGGGAUAACGUCCGGAAACGGGCGCUAAUACCGCAUACGUCCUGAGGGAGAAAGUGGGGGAUCUUCGGACCUCACGCUAUCAGAUGAGCCUAGGUCGGAUUAGCUAGUUGGUGGGGUAAAGGCCUACCAAGGCGACGAUCCGUAACUGGUCUGAGAGGAUGAUCAGUCACACUGGAACUGAGACACGGUCCAGACUCCUACGGGAGGCAGCAGUGGGGAAUAUUGGACAAUGGGCGAAAGCCUGAUCCAGCCAUGCCGCGUGUUUGAAGAAGGUCUUCGGAUUGUAAAGCACUUUAAGUUGGGAGGAAGGGCAGUAAGUUAAUACCUUGCUGUUUUGACGUUACCAACAGAAUAAGCACCGGCUAACUUCGUG